rnacentral:rRNA from 1 species
UGGGGAAUAUUGGACAAUGGGCGAAAGCCUGAUCCAGCCAUGCCGCGUGUGUGAAGAAGGCCUUUUGGUUGUAAAGCCCUUUAAGCGAGGAGGAGGCUACUGAGAUUAAUACUCUUGGAUAGUGGACGUUACUCGCAGAAUAAGCACCGGCUAACUCUGUGCCAGCAGCCGCGGUAAUACAGAGGGUGCGAGCGUUAAUCGGAUUUACUGGGCGUAAAGCGUGCGUAGGCGGCUUUUUAAGUCGGAUGUGAAAUCCCUGAGCUUAACUUAGGAAUUGCAUUCGAUACUGGGAAGCUAGAGUAUGGGAGAGGAUGGUAGAAUUCCAGGUGUAGCGGUGAAAUGCGUAGAGAUCUGGAGGAAUACCGAUGGCGAAGGCAGCCAUCUGGCCUAAUACUGACGCUGAGGUACGAAAGCAUGGGGAGCAAACAGG